rnacentral:tRNA from 1 species
GGAGAGGUGACAGAGUGGUCGAUCGUACCGGUCUUGAAAACCGGAGCCCUCGCAAGGGGGCCGAGGGUUCGAAUCCCUCCCUCUCCG